UCUCUGCCCACAAGUGCCUUAAGAGCCUUCUUCCCUGCGCCGGUUGGGUUUGUGUGCUUGCAGUUCGGCCCCCCACAAGGUCUGAGGGACAGUGGACCGGCCCCCUGCUGGAAAAGUUUGCUGACCCCUGCCUUAAGAGGCCGUGCUGCUUCAUAUACUUUAACAUGGCAUCAAAACUUCAUCAAAAAGCUUUUUCUCAGUGUGAGAAGAUGUUUGUGGUGCUGGUCAGCCCUUUAGGAAGAAUUGAGAUAUCUGGAUGCAAGCUGGGGGUCCAUGAAAUCCACCUGGAGGAAAAUGUUGUGCUACAAAAUGGCUGUAGACUUCCUGAAAGAAUGUUUUCAAAAAGCCGUGGCAGAGGGGACAGAGGACAGCUGGACUUAGGCCGCAAAAUUGCCUUGGCCCCAGCGGUACAGAAGGGGAGAUGACGAGAGUUCCAGUACAGUGGAUCGAAAAGUGUGUUUGACAGCCAGGUGAGCCGCUUGUUUUGCUUACAGUCCCCAGGGUGCUUGAGACUCUCUUUGGAAGGGGAAGAAAGGUAUCAGAGCUGACUCUAGAGAGAUGAAAAUGGGCCUGAAGGGUUGAUGCGGCUGUCCCUUAUGUGAUACUACAAAGGUCUAGGACGGUAGAAUUUUCACAUUAGAGCCUCGACUCAGGUGAUAAAAAAAACCCCUUAUUUAAUUUUGCUGUUUUAAACAUAGGGAAUUAUCAAAUAUAGAGGGGGGGCAUGGGAAACAACAACGUUUUCUACUGUAUAAGUAUAAUACUGCAAAUACUUGAUCAACAGAAUAAAAGGAAAUUAGAAAUGGACAGUGUAAAUAAGUCAGGGAUCCAGCAUUCUAUUUCCUGAAUUGCGUAAGGAAAUGCAGGUGUUGGGGUCAGUUUACACAACCCAAAAAGGGCUUGUUCUCCUAAUCUAUUGUGAUGUGUGCUUGGUGAACUGGUUGCUUGGAUCAGCCAGCAGAGAUACUCUGGGAUAGCCAGUUCACACAACCAGUUAAAUGUACAUGUUCAGUCUGGGUAGACACGAGUUCCAUUGUUUUAAAAACCACACCUAAUUGGCCUCUAAUUGCCAACACACUAGAUCUUCCAUGUCUAGCAUAUGAACAUAAGUACUCGGAAUUAGCCUCAUACAUGGAGAGUUGAUGAAAGUUUAAUAGCAAAAAUAAACACAAAACAUUAUUAGAAAGUUCAUUUUGACUUCUUUUUUUUAAAAAGAGACUACCUGUUUACUAAACUGCUUGCAGUCAUAAGCAUGCAAACA